GGGGGCGACCUGGUUUCGACGUGGGUUGCAAAGCAGAGCAGGGCAUACCGAGGGCGGGCUACCUCGUAAAUACAACCUGAAAAACUUAACUGCAAACGAUAACUCGUACGCACUCGCAGCUUAAUUGCUGCUAGCUCUAGAACACCUCGUCCCUGGGGUGGGCCGUCAAAAGCUCUAGAGUCAUUUACAGGGACUCGUCUUGAACUGGGUUACU
rnacentral:tmRNA from 1 species